AUUACCAACCCCCCAAACAUCCUCCAGAGCUAGAGUAGCCACGCCCCCAUUCUUCCUCCCAACACUGGAUAGUCAGUAUUUGCACUCUCCCUGCUCUACUGUCCCCGCCUACCCACAUACCUAUCUGUUCCUGUGUUUCAAACUCUUGUAUUUCUGUACUACCCCUCCCCCUAAUCAAUGAUCAAUGGUAUCAGAUGGUAUAUGGUCUUUAUUUUAGUUACUGGAUGGGCCCCUCC